rnacentral:rRNA from 1 species
GACGAACGCUGGCGGCGUGCUUAACACAUGCAAGUCGAACGGUAAGGCCCUUCGGGGUACACGAGUGGCGAACGGGUGAGUAACACGUGGGUGAUCUACCCUGCACUUCGGGAUAAGCCUGGGAAACUGGGUUUAAUACCGGAUAGGACCACUGCCUGCAUGGGUGGUGGUGGAAAGCUUUUGCGGUGUGGGAUGGGCCCGCGGCCUAUCAGCUUGUUGGUGGGGUGAUGGCCUACCAAGGCGACGACGGGUAGCCGGCCUGAGAGGGUGACCGGCCACACUGGGACUGAGAUACGGCCCAGACUCCUACGGGAGGCAGCAGUGGGGAAUAUUGCACAAUGGGCGCAAGCCUGAUGCAGCGACGCCGCGUGAGGGAUGACGGCCUUCGGGUUGUAAACCUCUUUCAGCACCGACGAAGCGCAAGUGACAGUAGGUGCAGAAGAAGGACCGGCCAACUACGUGCCAGCAGCCGCCGUAA